ensembl:lncRNA
UUUUGUCAAGUAAAUUAAGAAAUGUGAACAGAGAACAUUUUUAAAAAUGACAAAAAGAUCUGUGCUUCUCAUUGAUUUUUCAUAUUCUAUUUUUUUUUUUUUUUUUUUUUUCCUGAUAACUACAUAAACCUCUGUUAAAACAUCGCUAUUCAGAUUCAUAUACUAUACAUAUGAUGAUCAUUUAAUUAAAUUUUUUAUGAGCCUUUGGAUGUUUUUGUAGUUCUUCUGAUGGUUUUGUAGCCUAAUAUACAACAUUUAAAUGGAGUUUAUAGUACCAAGCAAUAAAUGAGCAAGAACAUACACUAAAACAAUAAUAUUAGUCAAAAUAUUAUUUUAAUUUAUGUAUCAAAAUUGAAACAGACAAUACAACAAAAUAAUAAAAAAAUAACACAGAUGUUAAUUCAGAAAAUAUUUUACCUGAAAUGAGAUUGGUUGACAUCUGAUAGAUUUUUUGACGUAUCUUUGUUUGUGUGUGGAAGAACAGUUUGAAGAACAGUUAGGAGGGGCUAGUAAGUGUUUUUUUUUUUUUUUUUUUUUUUUUGUGGCCAGCACCUUCCUAAUACAAAGCACUUUACAUAUAAAUGAAAAAUAAACAAGGCAGAAUGUUUCUCUGUCCCUCUAAAUAGAGAAUACAUUAACAUUACUACUACUAAUAAUAAUAGUAACAACAACAACAAUAUAAUAGUUAAACUGUCAAAAUAGGAAAUAAUAAUUUAAAACAUUUAAAAUGUAUGCUCUGUUAUCAGUGUGCUGGCAUCUUUGUCUCACCAAAGCAGAAUUAUGAAUGUUUCUAUGCUGGAUGUUACUAUUGGCUUGUGCAUGGGAGACAAGGACCACCACUAAUUUCAGUAAUUAAUACAUAAUGAUUAUUGGUGGGUUUUCACUGAUAAAACAAGACAAAAAAUGUAUCAAAUAUUGCAACUGAGAAAAGCUGCAGUAAAUUCAACCGUUUUGGGUCACAAAAAUUCUUUUGAGACCAUGAACUCAUUUAACCUAAUUAGACAUUACAAAUGUCAUUCUGGUAUUUUUUCUAUAACUGAUGAUCAGAACUUUUCAAAGAACAACAGCUCAUGUGUUUAUGUUGAAAAAACACAAACAUUUAAAAGUCCACAGUAGACUCAUCAUCAGCACUUUUAAUUUUAAAAAACAGCCACAUGCCAUAUAAAGACUAUUUAAUGCACCAUAUUACAAUAAACAAAGCUGUAAGGAGAGGUUCCUAGAUCUG